GGGGCCGUGGGGUAGCUUGGUCUAGCCUCCCAGCUAAUCUUCAGGUCUGGAAUGGGGUGCUGGUGACCCGAGUUCAAAUCUCGGCGGCCCCA
rnacentral:tRNA from 1 species